GCAAACACACUGCAGCAGAACAAGCCCGUGUGUGUUGGGGCUGUGGGGUGCAAACAGCCCCUGGCCUGAGGAAAUGGAAAGUGCUUCAGUGAUGACUAUUGAUGAGCUACUGAUUAACAGGCUCCUCUCACCACUCACUGGGAAGCACACACACAGCUCAACCACCUAGGGCCCCAUCUGGCCUCAAUCUGGCUCUGAUCUGGCCUCAAUCUAGCUCUGAUCUGGCUCUGAUCCGGCUCUGAUCUGGCUCUGAUGUGGCUCUGAUCUGGCCCUUCUCUGGAUCACAUUGGGCCCCGGUCCCAACCCAGAUACAGCGCAGCUGAUCCGGCCUAGACAUGGCCCUGAUCUGGCCCAGAUACGUUUCCAGAUAGUGUCUUCAGUGCCAGCUGCUGCUAUCUAGGCAGUUUGAUUUGCAUUUCCAUAAGGCUGCAGCUCUCCACUCCCCCACCGGUUCAUCUGUUUCUGUGAGAAGUGUUGCCAGUAGGUUACUUAUAGUGUCUGUGCCCCCAUGUGAGGGAGUUCCUAGCGCAGAGGUGGAACACUCUGAAUUCAUACAGUAAAAUAUUGAGUCCAACCAUUCACUAAACCAGCUGAUUCUGAUUAGUACCGCUCUUCACCCAGGUAGAUCAGCUAGUUUGUGAAAUUGCCUGUGUUAGAUGCACAGGUAGCGCCAAUACACGGUAGGACGUUUAUUUUGGGAAGGCUGGAGUUUUCCCCCCUCUGUAAUGAGUUAAGCUUAAACUGGACCUGUUGAGGAGAACAGAGAGGUCCAGCUCGCUAGCUAUUGGGUGUUCGAGUCCUGGAGAACAGAGCGGUCCAGCUCGCUAGCUAUUGGGUGUACGAGUCCUGGCCAGACGCAUCUGCUCUGCUUCUACAUGUCACUGCCACAUGUACAUAAUGGUUUUGUAUUUAUUUUCUGUCUGCGGACACAGUGUCCUCAGUGCUUUUAAUAAAACAGAUUCAAAUGUUA